AGUGGGGAAUAUUGCACAAUGGGCGCAAGCCUGAUGCAGCGACGCCGCGUGAAGGAUGAAGGUUUUCGGAUCGUAAACUUCUAUCAGCAGGGAAGAAACCAAUGACGGUACCUGACUAAGAAGCCCCGGCUAACUACGUGCCAGCAGCCGCGGUAAUACGUAGGGGGCAAGCGUUAUCCGGAUUUACUGGGUGUAAAGGGUGCGUAGGUGGCAUGGCAAGUCAGAUGUGAAAACUCGGGGCUCAACUUCGAGAUUGCAUCUGAAACUGCUAAGCUAGAGUGCAGGAGAGGAAAGCGGAAUUCCGAGUGUAGCGGUGAAAUGCGUAGAGAUUCGGAGGAACACCAGUAGCGAAGGCGGCUUUCUGGACUGUAACUGACACUGAGGCACGAAAGCGUGGGGAGCGAA
rnacentral:rRNA from 1 species